UACGGAGGGUGCAAGCGUUUAUCCGGAUUUACUGGGUUUAAAGGGUGCGUAGGUGGGUAGGUAAGUCAGUGGUGAAAUCUUCAAGCUUAACUUGGAAACUGCCAUUGAUACUAUUUAUCUUGAAUACUUUGGAGGUAAGCGGAAUAUGUCAUGUAGCGGUGAAAUGCUUAGAUAUGACAUAGAACACCAAUUGCGAAGGCAGCUUACUACACAGUAAUUGACACUGAGGCGCGAAA
rnacentral:rRNA from 1 species